rnacentral:rRNA from 1 species
GAUGAACGCUGGCGGCGUGCCUAAUACAUGCAAGUCGAGCGAACAGACGAGGAGCUUGCUCCUCUGACGUUAGCGGCGGACGGGUGAGUAACACGUGGAUAACCUACCUAUAAGACUGGGAUAACUUCGGGAAACCGGAGCUAAUACCGGAUAAUAUAUUGAACCGCAUGGUUCAAUAGUGAAAGACGGUUUUGCUGUCACUUAUAGAUGGCUCCGCGCCGCAUUAGCUAGUUGGUAAGGUAACGACCUACCAAGGCAACGAUGCGUAGCCGACCUGAGAGGGUGAUAGGCCACACUGGAGCUGGGACAGGGUCCCUGCGCCUACGAGAGGCAGCAGUAGGGAAUCGUACGCAAUGGGCGAAAGCAUGACGGAGCAACGCCGAGUGAGUGAUGAAGGUCUUCGGAGCGUAAAGCCCUGUUAUUAGGGAAGAACAAAUGUGUAAGUAGCUAUGCACAGCUUGACGGUACCUAAUCAGAAAGCCACGGCUAACUACGUG